GUCUAUGAGGAGGGGUAGCAGGUGAGAGGCAUCACAGAAGAAGAUGAGAAGCCAUGUCCAUAGAAGAAAAAGACAACGGUCUGAGUCUGGAAUGUAAAAGCCAAACCCAACAGCCAAGGGUUUGCCAAGAACUCCAAAAAGACGAUCACGUGUCCAAUUACCAUGGCGACGCGGUGACAAAGGGAACUUAUUCCUGCUGUUUAGACAGAGCAAUCCUGCAGCCAUCAGGAGGAAAGGGAGACAGGCCGCCUGCGGUCACGCACACCUGACUGUCGCCCACGCAGGGCUCGCAGGCCGCCGGUUGUCAGCACCUGGGAUUAGCGCGUGAGCUCCUGCGGGAAACUGGGCUGGCUUCAGCGCCAGGACAGCUCGGGGAGCCAGGCUCUCCUCCUUAUUCUCCAAUGGCUCAGCAGACGGCUUUAAGAUGACUUCAACAGAGGACUCAUCUGAAGUGUGUUUUAUUAGUUCUAGCAUUAUUUCAUCCGGUUUCAAUGCGGGUCAUUUACAUGAUGAGCCUUAUGAUUUGAUUAACCCCGGGACAAUUCCGAGACUGCUCUCCUGACACGAACGCAGUAUUGGAUUUGUGGUCUAAAAGGGCAGGCUUUCCAGUUAGACACCCUCAUAAAUCAAGGUACCAGAGACUCAAGGAUAGACGGCCCCACGUUUAAAAUAACUGGAUUCGGGCCAGCGAGAUGGCUCAGUGAUUAAAGACGCUUUCCACUAAGCCAGACAAGCCUGAGUUCGGAUCCCUGGACCCUACAAGGUUGAAGGAGAGAAAUGACUCCCGCAAGUUGUCGUCUGACCUCCAAAUGCCCAAAUGUGUAUUUGUACAGAAUAAAAAUAAUGAAGUGGCCAGUGCCUUUAA